rnacentral:rRNA from 1 species
UGAAGGGGGCACCUGAUCCUUACAUGCCGCGUGUGUGAAGAAGGCCUGAGGGUUGUAAAGCACUUUUGUUAGGGAGGAUGGUGAAGUAUGUUAAGAGCUAAUUUCACUGACGUUNACCUAAAGAAUAAGCACCGGCUAACUCCGUGCCAGCAGCCGCGGUAAUACGGAGGGUGCAAGCGUUAAUCGGAAUUAUGGGCGUAAAGAGUGCGUAGGCGGUAAAGUAAGUUAUCUGUGAAAUCCCUGGGCUUAACCUAGGUAGGAAAGAUAAAACUGCUUAACUAGAGUGUGGUAGAGGAUAGUGGAAUUUCCGGUGUAGCGGUGAAAUGCGUAGAGAUCGGAAGGAACACCAGUGGCGAAGGCGGCUAUCUGGACCAACACUGACGCUGAGGCACGAAAGCGUGGGGAGCAAACAGGAUUAGAUACCCUGAUAGUCCACGCCGUAAAACGAUGUCAACUUACUGUUGGUCACAUUAAAGUGAUUAGUAGUGUAGCAAACGCGAUAAGUUGACCGCCUGGGGAGUACGGUCGCAAGAUUACAACUCCAAGGAAUUGACGGGGGCCCGCACAAGCGGUGGAGCAUGUGGUUUAAUUCGAUGCAACGCGAAGAACUU